GUAACCCUUCUAAGAUAUGUUUUCAGCUGAGUACCCCCUUCACAAGCACUAAACAUUUUUGGAAGGUCUCUUUUUUUAAUGAACAUAAAUAAUGCAUGUGCCUUCUAUUUGGCAAGAGGCUUAACAGGCUGCAAAUACUCACAAUUUAGUGAAAAAGAGCGACUGCAUAAAGAAGAAACCUCUCACACAUGAGGGGGUCCAUUGCCUCGAUGGCACUCGGGGACGCGCUGUUCUGUCUGGCGCACACCUGUAUGUGUCUCUUUCCUAGCCAGUGGGACCUAGUUUAGGGGAAGAAAGAAAGAAAGGACAAUAAAGUCGUGAUAUCAUAAAUGGCCUAUGGUUUGUUGUAAAAGCAUUCUUAUUCAUCUUUAUAUUAUUGAAUUAAUGAAGUGCUCUGAUAGGGUGAUAAUAACACAUCUUAGCGGUGCUCACAUAUUGAUAUCCUAAGAUAUAUAUUUUAGCGACCGUGGGCGUGGUCGCAAUGUUCAGUAAGGGAUCCUGGGGGGUUUAGAUUACCGACAGUCGGACCCAUAGGUACUUUGCCGCAGAAACUGAGUGGGGUUAAAGGGUUGGGGUUUGUCUAGGUAGCGGUGUAAUUGUGUUCGUGUAAUUUCUCCCGACACCGUCACCGAGACGCUAUGUUAAUUGGUUAUGCAGAGUAGCCUUCCACACACAAUGAAUUGUAAUCCACCAACAUUGUUAACUGUUGUACAUAUCUAAACAAGCAAAUGCAAAUGAACAAUUUAAGAGCAUAGACUCCACCAUCUUCCCAGACACUGAGAAUAAUGUGGUUGAUUAUUUAGAUUAUUCAGGUAGAUUCCACAUUCUAUCUUUAGAGAUUAUUUAGAAAAAUAUUAAUUGCAAAUAAAUAUGCAGCUUGCCAUGAAAUUGCAAUCCACAACUGAAAAUGUAAAUACUCACUGCAUAAAGAAUAACCUCUCACACAUGAGGGGGUCAUUGCCUCGGUGGGACUCGUGGAGGCGCUGUUCUGUCUGGCGCACCUUAAUGUGUCUCUUUCCUAGCCAGUAGAUCCUAGUUUACGACAAAAAACAAAUCAAUGUACGGUAGCUCAGCUGUCUCACGUCGCACGUUAAAGCAAUAAGUGCGCUAUGGUUUUUCUAAAAGCAGGCUUAUCUUUAAAUGGUAAAAUUAAUGAAUAGCUUUAUUAAGGUGAUAAUAACUAAUCUGAGCAGCGCAUGCAUUGAUAAGCUUGUAUACUUAUAUAUGGGCCUAUAUGUAUAUGAUAGAAUUGUCUGAUUUCCCAUGCCCCCCCUGACUGUUUCUUGGUCCCCUCCUGACUGUUUCUUGGUCCCCUCCUGUUCCACCUCUAUAGUCUAUAGCUAUUAAAUGUGUCUCGAACCUUUUCUAAUAGUGAAAUCCUUCUAAGAUAUUUUUUCGGCUGAGUACCCCCUUCACAAGCACUAAAUAUUUUUGGGAGAUAAUUUUUUUAAUGACCAUAAAUAAUGCAUGUGCGUUCUAUUUGGCAGCGUUAACAUGAACAUUAACAGGCUACAAAUACUCACAAUUUAGUGAAAAAUAUAUGCCUGUGCUAAUUUCUCCGCAUUUUUUUAGGAUUACCCCCUCAGUACUCUAGUACCCCUACGGAUACGCGUACUCCAAUUUGGUCAUCGAUAUUUUUUUCCAGUAUUUACGGUAAUAUACAGGAAGGGGCCAUUGGGCGCUUGCCGUUCUAGGAUAAAGGGACAUCAGAGGGUUCCGUUUGAUAUCAGUAACUGUUACCUCUCGCCGGUAGUCAGGUAAAAUAGGUUAAUAAACAUGUCACCAUGCGGCUCAACUUUGGAAGAACAGCUGUCGUCCAUAAUGGACGUACUUGCGAAAUCGGCUGUAUCUGAAAUUAGCCAACUGUUCUCGGAGAGGUCGGCUUCUCUUCGCUUAGAAGUAACUCAGAGCCGCAAAGAAAACGAAUUGCUGAGGAUGAGGAUGAAGGUGAUGAGGAGUGAGCUGUUUUCUUUGCGGCUUAAAACAAGAUCAAAUGCAUCGCGUGCGGAAAGUGGUUUUGUCCUGGCUCGAGCCAACAUCAGCAAACUACGGACUAAAUCAAUGGAAAAUGGCCUAAAGCCCCUGAUGGACCACAAGGCAGUUGUACAUUUUCAUUCACUAUCCAAAAGUGAGGCUUUGUCAGUUACAAGUCCAGCAGAGGAGUCCCCCAAAAUCAUUUUGAUCAAGAUUGAAGAGGAUAUCAGUGGAUGCAGGCCAGCAGGUGAGUCAUACAUAUUGCAGCAUAGAGUCUAGGGUUAGGGUUAGCAUCUGCCCACUUGAUUCUGCCUGCACUAAAAGGCUGGUCCUCUUUUGGAAACGCAUCAUGACCAGAGCCCUGAUAAAACACAAGUAAAACUUGAGUUUCAUUUCAAAGAUGGAAACAGUCAAGAGCCCAGAAGGGGUUCAAGGCGGAGGCAACAUUACCUGGUUUUUCAUUCUCAAACAUAAAUAAAAUUCAAAAAAUAUAUAUGUUCGAUGAUCAGCUUACAGGGAAUUGCACGUCGUCUCUUGUUAUUGUCCAAAUUGAAUAAUUGUCUUUCAGGUAAUUUUGUGCUCAGCUCAUUUUGCACUGGUGUUCGUUCAUUGUCCUCGAACUGGACACCGGCUUGAGCUUCAUGUCUAUGGAGGAGAGGGCUUGAGGAGACGUCUCUCUCUGAAACUGUGAAUUUGUGGCUGAAAAGAUUGUGACGCCUUUGGAGAACGCAUCUCGCAGAGCGGAGCCACCUUGGAGAGUCUGCAUGUGGACGCCCCUGGCUCCUCCCAUGUGUC